AGUAAUUCAACAUAAAUUUGUUGAGUUUUUCCAAUCAAAAUGGCAUGAACUAAAGGGAAGCUCUGGAACAACAUAUUGUAUUACAUUAUUCUAUAGAAUUUAUUAUGUCCUUGAGGGUUUUGCAGUGUCAUUGCAAAAUGUUCAUUAUCAGCAGCUGUCAACAAAUCGUGCAAAUGUGCCAUGUUUCGUGGAGUCUGCGGGAAAAACUUACGUCUUAUACGCCGCAUCCUCUCUACACUCUGUAGAAAGGUAUAAUUUUCUGCAGCUUCUGGAAAACUAAUUCAUACAUCAUAUCAAACUUAAGUAAUCAAGGAUAUCAAAACUAACCAUCACCUAUGCAUAGUUACAUACCUUAUGUACAAUAUGUAUUGUUAUUUACAAAAUAAGCAAAAAUUCAAGUUUAUAGCCCUUUCAGUUAUCUCCUGUCGAAGCAGUGGAACAUUGAGAUUAAGUUCCCUGACAUGAUGAAAAUGUUGCUUCGACAGUGUAAACCUAUCAUCAUUGCGGUCCGGAGAUAUGUGAGCAGUUGCCCGGCACUGUCCUUCCAAUUUCUUUUCGUAACAUGCCAAGUAAC